rnacentral:misc_RNA from 1 species
AAGUCGUAACAAGGUUUCCGUAGGUGAACCUGCGGAAGGAUCAUUAAAGAGUAAGGGUGCUCAGCGCCCGACCUCCAACCCUUUGUUGUUAAAACUACCUUGUUGCUUUGGCGGGACCGCUCGGUCUCGAGCCGCUGGGGAUUCGUCCCAGGCGAGCGCCCGCCAGAGUUAAACCAAACUCUUGUUAUCAAAACCGGUCGUCUGAGUAAAAAUUUUGAAUAAAUCAAAACUUUCAACAACGGAUCUCUUGGUUCUC